UAGGGAAUAUUGGUCAAUGGAGGCAACUCUGAACCAGCCAUGCCGCGUGAAGGAUGAAGGCGCUCUGCGUCGUAAACUUCUUUUAUAUGGGGCGAAAAUGCGGGAUUUAUCCUGUACUGACAGUACCAUAGGAAUAAGCACCGGCUAACUCCGUGCCAGCAGCCGCGGUAAUACGGAGGGUGCAAGCGUUAUCCGGAUUUACUGGGUUUAAAGGGUGCGUAGGCGGGACAUUAAGUCAGUGGUGAAAGCUCGUUGCUUAACAACGGAAUUGCCAUUGAAACUGAUAUUCUUGAGAUAAGUUGAGGUUGGCGGAAUGUGACAUGUAGCGGUGAAAUGCUUAGAUAUGUCAUAGAACACCGAUUGCGAAGGCAGCUGACUGGACUUUAUCUGACGCUGAGGCACGAAAGCGUGGGGAUCAAACAGG
rnacentral:rRNA from 1 species